AAACCUAUUGACAUGUUCUCAUUGAAGUGAAUUUUGUAAGUUUUGCCCGCAUUCGUCGCCUCACGUCAUUUCAUGUCAUUUCACGCGUGAGGCGAUGAAUGGACAUGUUCAUUCUUUGUGAAAUGAGCUGGCAAAGAAAGUGGACGCCCAUGUGCAUUUGUAGUGAUAUCGCCUUCGAAACUUAUAACAGACAAUCUGACCAGGGACGACUGAGCACGCAAAUAUUUAACAACUAAUUGGAUGUAAAGUCGACCAGGAAUCGUCAAAAUCGGUGUGUAGCUUGUACAAUUCGCUGGAAAUUGGCCUAGAUUCGACACAAAAAGACGACGAAAUCGAGAACCGGUUCAGUGAAGAGGUAACUCGACAUAGGCUCGCCUUGACAUCAGUUCUCACUGUAAGGACGGUGGUAGAGUUUACAAACAUCAUGACCUCGCCGCAUUACGACGCAGUUUCCACGGAAUAUGAUGAUAUGUUGGCAUUUAGGACGCAGUACCAGUCGGUUUUCUUGAAAGAUGUUUUUGAUCAUAUUUCGCGAGAUGAUCUGAAUUUCAAGGACAUGGUGCUAGCAGACAUAGGGUGCGGAACAGGAGCGAUUCUGAAGUUACUGGCUCAAAAGGAGAGGCCUAGUAAAUUCCUUGCUGUAGAACCGUGUCAGCGCAUGCUCGAUAAUAUCCAAGAUGGCGGUCGCAUCCCGAUUGAAAAAUAUUGCAUGGACGGGAACACGUUUUCCAGCGUUGAACACGUGAGGUAUGACGUAUCAGUAAUGUUUGGGAUGAUUCACCAUAUUCCUCCGGAAAAGUUGUUAGACUUUCUUCGCGGGAUCUUCACACAGACCCGCCCGGGUGGUUCUACCUUAAUCAUUACGUACGGCCCCACCUUGCCUUUCCCACUCUCGCCCGAGCAUUUUAAUGCAGCCACCGCGUGUUACCCAGCCUUGGAUAUUCUGCAAGACCUCCUUCGACAAGCUGGGUUUGAUGACGUCACGUGCGCGAGGAAGUCUUAUGGUUACGUGGUCCUACCACGUGACCGUUGGCUGCACAUGAUUCGUAAUAGGUUCUUAUCAACCCUUUCAUCAUAUUCCGAUGAAGAGAUUGAGGAGGGAAUAAGAUCAAUGGAUUAUUCUGAACCUGUGGUGUUUGAGGAGUGGCUGUACUUCGUCAAGGCAGGCAGAUCGGCCUAAAGGGACAAGUCAUGCAUGAGAUGAAAUGUUGUUUUUUGGACGAAAAUGGCUUCCAGCUGGACCGUGACUUCUAAAAACAGGUUCAUUGAAUAUCACUUAACUCUAAUGAACGGUGUACAUGUAUUAAAACAGAAUCAAACAUUGGCUUUGGGGCCUAAAUGUUGCAAGCGAUGCCCAAGGCCGCUCCAACAUCAGCGACAAUAAUUUAGGUCAAAUUUCGGUCAGUUAAUGAGGAUAAACAGGAGUAUUAACCUCAUGGCCACCUCAAUUUCCACACUCCGAGCGGCCCGAUGGAUGUUCUCUUUCCCAACCCAGUUUCCAUUAAACCAUGAUGUCCCGGAUGGGUCACAGGGCAUGAAGAUGUCAGAAUUACCUGAUCAAUUAGCGAUCGAUCGGUCACCACAAAACCUACAGACAACAUGACGCAUGAAGCCUGGAGUAAAAGAGUGUUGUUUUGAAGAUACACAUGUGUAAAAGGGGAUUUCGCGUGAACAGCGUUCUAGCCACUCUUGUUUCCUGUUUAAAACUCCGGCGCACCGAAAUUCACUUUUUACAUUGGCUCUUUCACUACCAGCUCCUUUCAAAUCAA